rnacentral:rRNA from 1 species
UACGUAGGGUGCAAGCGUUGUCCGGAAUUAUUGGGGCGUAAAGAGCUUGUAGGCGGUUUGUCGCGUCUGCUGUGAAAUUUCGGGGCUCAACCCCGAACUUGCAGUGGGUACGGGCAGACUAGAGUGUGGUAGGGGAGACUGGAAUUCCUGGUGUAGCGGUGAAAUGCGCAGAUAUCAGGAGGAACACCGAUGGCGAAGGCAGGUCUCUGGGCCAUAACUGACGCUGAGAAGCGAAAGCAUGGGGAGCGAACAGG